ACCAUGCAGUCGACGCGAAGGGGAGCAAUCCCUGAGUAGAGUGGCAAACGGGUGAGUAACACGUGGGUGACCUGCCUUCGAGUGGGGGAUAACGUCCCGAAAGGGACGCUAAUACCGCAUGACAUCCUGCUUUUGGAAAAGCGGAGAUCAAAGCCGGGGAUCGCAAGACCUGGCGCUUGAAGAGGGGCCCGCGCCUGAUUAGCUAGUUGGUGGGGUAACGGCCUACCAAGGCGACGAUCAGUAUCCGGCCUGAGAGGGCGGACGGACACACUGGGACUGAGACACGGCCCAGACUCCUACGGGAGGCAGCAGUGGGGAAUUGUUCGCAAUGGGCGCAAGCCUGACGACGCAACGCCGCGUGGAGGACGAAGAUCUUCGGGUCGUAAACUCCUGUCGAGUGGGAAGAACGCUUCGCGGGUGAAUACUCCGCGGAAUUGACGGUACCACUAAAGGAAGCCCCGGCUAACUCCGUGCCAGCAGCCACGGUAAUACGGGGGGGGCAAGCGUUGUUCGGAAUUACUGGGCGUAAAGGGCUCGUAGGCGGCCAACUAAGUCGGAUGUGAAAUCCCCAGGCUUAACCUGGGAACUGCAUCCGAUACUGGAUGGCUUGAAUUCGGGAGAGGGAUGCAGAAUUCCAGGUGUAGCGGUGAAAUGCGUAGAUAUCUGGAGGAAUACCGGGUGGCGAAUGCGGCAUCCUGGACCGACAUUGACGCUGAGAAGCCGAAAGCCUGGAGCA
rnacentral:rRNA from 1 species